rnacentral:lncRNA from 1 species
GUCAUUCCCUAGUUAUACUGCACCUUAAAAUGCACAUCAAAUUUGAUUGGGCGGCGACAACCCAUCAGCUGGCGAUUGCCGCCAGGCGGUGGCGAGGGAAACCUCCGGGCGGUGGCGGUUGCCGCUGGGCGGUGGCGGCAGGUUAUGGGAAACCGCCGGGCGGCACACUUAAACCGCCCGGCGGUGGCACGCUGGACUUGGGCCUGAUUUUGACGCGCUCCUCACCUAUAAAUACCCCUACUACGAAUUCAGAGUCAUUCUUUUGACAGGGGAAGACGGCCAGACCUAAUUUU